CAGUAGCCGCGGGAAAACGAAGGGGGCUAGCGUUGUUCGGAUUUACUGGGCGUAAAGCGCACGUAGGCGGACUUUUAAGUCAGGGGUGAAAUCCCGGGGCUCAACCCCGGAACUGCCUUUGAUACUGGAAGUCUUGAGUAUGGUAGAGGUGAGUGGAAUUCCGAGUGUAGAGGUGAAAUUCGUAGAUAUUCGGAGGAACACCAGUGGCGAAGGCGGCUCACUGGACCAUUACUGACGCUGAGGUGCGAAAGCGUGGGGAGCAAACAGGAUUAGAGACCCGUGUAGUCCCUGUCUCUUAUAC
rnacentral:rRNA from 1 species